GGGCGAUUAGCUCAGAGGAUAGAGCGCUGGUCUCCGGAACCAGAGGUCGUGGGUUCGAGUCCCACAUCGCCUACCA
rnacentral:tRNA from 1 species